GAUGAACGCUGACAGAAUGCUUAACACAUGCAAGUCUUUGGCGAAGCUGUGCUUGCACAGCCUAGCCAAGGCGGACGGGUGAGUAACGCGUAAGGAACUUGCCCUGCAGUCAGGGAUAACAGACGGAAACGACUGAUAAGACCUGGUAAAGUCAGGCGGACUCAUGUCCAGCCUGAUGAAAAGAGAUGCUGCAGGAGAGCCUUGCGUCCUAUUAGCUUGUUGGUGGGGUAACGGCCCACCAAGGCGAUGAUAGGUAGCCGGCCUGAGAGGGUGGACGGCCACAAGGGGACUGAGAUACGGCCCUUACUCCUACGGGAGGCAGCAGUGGGGAAUAUUGGACAAUAGGGGCAACCCUGAUCCAGCAAUUCUGUGUGCACGAUGAAGGUUUUCGGAUUGUAAAGUGCUUUCAGCAGGGAAGAAAAAAAUGACGGUACCUGCAGAAGAAGCGACGGCUAAAUACGUG
rnacentral:rRNA from 1 species